GUCUUAAUUGGGCGUUAAGUUGCAGGGUAUAGACCCGAAACCCGGUGAUCUAGCCAUGGGCAGGUUGAAGGUUGGGUAACACUAACUGGAGGACCGAACCGACUAAUGUUGAAAAAUUAGCGGAUGACCUGUGGCUGGGGGUGAAAGGCCAAUCAAACCGGGAGAUAGCUGGUUCUCCCCGAAAGCUAUUUAGGUAGCGCCUCGUGAAUUCAUCUCCGGGGGUAGAGCACUGUUUCGGCUAGGGGGCCAUCCCGGCUUACCAACCCGAUGCAAACUGCGAAUACCGGAGAAUGUUAUCACGGGAGACACACGGCGGGUGCUAACGUCCGUCGUGAAGAGGGAAACAACCCAGACCGCCAGCUAAGGUCCCAAAGUCAUGGUUAAGUGGGAAACGAUGUGGGAAGGCCCAGACAGCCAGGAUGUUGGCUUAGAAGCAGCCAUCAUUUAAAGAAAGCGUAAUAGCUCACUGGUCGAGUCGGCCUGCGCGGAAGAUGUAACGGGGCUAAACCAUGCACCGAAGCUGCGGCAGCGACACUGUGUGUUGUUGGGUAGGGGAGCGUUCUGUAAGCCUGUGAAGGUGGCCUGUGAGGGUUGCUGGAGGUAUCAGAAGUGCGAAUGCUGACAUAAGUAACGAUAAAGCGGGUGAAAAGCCCGCUCGCCGGAAGACCAAGGGUUCCUGUCCAACGUUAAUCGGGGCAGGGUGAGUCGACCCCUAAGGCGAGGCCGAAAGGCGUAGUCGAUGGGAAACGGGUUAAUAUUCCCGUACUUGGUGUUACUGCGAAGGGGGGACGGAGAAGGCUAUGUUGGCCGGGCGACGGUUGUCCCGGUUUAAGCGUGUAGGUGUGUGUUCCAGGUAAAUCCGGUUCACUUUAACACUGAGGCGUGACGACGAGGCACUACGGUGCUGAAGCAACAAAUGCCCUGCUUCCAGGAAAAGCCUCUAAGCAUCAGGUAACAUCAAAUCGUACCCCAAACCGACACAGGUGGUCAGGUAGAGAAUACCAAGGCGCUUGAGAGAACUCGGGUGAAGGAACUAGGCAAAAUGGUGCCGUAACUUCGGGAGAAGGCACGCUGACACGUAGGUGAAGUGAUUUACUCAUGGAGCUGAAGUCAGUCGAAGAUACCAGCUGGCUGCAACUGUUUAUUAAAAACACAGCACUGUGCAAACACGAAAGUGGACGUAUACGGUGUGACGCCUGCCCGGUGCCGGAAGGUUAAUUGAUGGGGUCAGCGCAAGCGAAGCUCCUGAUCGAAGCCCCGGUAAACGGCGGCCGUAACUAUAACGGUCCUAAGGUAGCGAAAUUCCUUGUCGGGUAAGUUCCGACCUGCACGAAUGGCGUAAUGAUGGCCAGGCUGUCUCCACCCGAGACUCAGUGAAAUUGAACUCGCUGUGAAGAUGCAGUGUACCCGCGGCAAGACGGAAAGACCCCGUGAACCUUUACUAUAGCUUGACACUGAACAUUGAGCCUUGAUGUGUAGGAUAGGUGGGAGGCUUUGAAGUGUGGACGCCAGUCUGCAUGGAGCCGACCUUGAAAUACCACCCUUUAAUGUUUGAUGUUCUAACGUGGACCCGUAAUCCGGGUUGCGGACAGUGUCUGGUGGGUAGUUUGACUGGGGCGGUCUCCUCCUAAAGAGUAACGGAGGAGCACGAAGGUUGGCUAAUCCUGGUCGGACAUCAGGAGGUUAGUGCAAUGGCAUAAGCCAGCUUGACUGCGAGCGUGACGGCGCGAGCAGGUGCGAAAGCAGGUCAUAGUGAUCCGGUGGUUCUGAAUGGAAGGGCCAUCGCUCAACGGAUAAAAGGUACUCCGGGGAUAACAGGCUGAUACCGCCCAAGAGUUCAUAUCGACGGCGGUGUUUGGCACCUCGAUGUCGGCUCAUCACAUCCUGGGGCUGAAGUAGGUCCCAAGGGUAUGGCUGUUCGCCAUUUAAAGUGGUACGCGAGCUGGGUUUAGAACGUCGUGAGACAGUUCGGUCCCUAUCUGCCGUGGGCGCUGGAGAACUGAGGGGGGCUGCUCCUAGUACGAGAGGACCGGAGUGGACGCAUCACUGGUGUUCGGGUUGUCAUGCCAAUGGCACUGCCCGGUAGCUAAAUGCGGAAGAGAUAAGUGCUGAAAGCAUCUAAGCACGAAACUUGCCCCGAGAUGAGUUCUCCCUGAGACUUUAGGUCUCCUGAAGGAACGUUGAAGACGACGACGUUGAUAGGCCGGGUGUGUAAGCGCAGCGAUGCGUUGAGCUAACCGGUACUAAUGAACCGUGAGGCU
rnacentral:rRNA from 1 species